AGGGCAAAAAAUUUAGUAUACCUAGAACCGCCUUGGUGACCUCUAUUCAUCAUUAAAGUAUUUCCGUUUCCCAAUGAAACACCCUGUAUAAAGCUUUUUAAUGACUACUUAAAUGCGCUAUCAGCUGAAUUGUUUAAACUACUUCAGGAAAAUACCAAUAUUAGAAGUAAUUAUAAAAAAUUGACAGAAUGUAUUUUGGCUAAGACGGUGAUUUUUAACCGUAAAAGAGUAGGGGACGUGCAGUAUUUAACAGUAGAAACCUACGGGAGGAACUACGAUACACUUAAUCAAGAAAGUUUUACAGAGGCACUCACUUAAGUUGAAAAGAUUAUAUAUAAAAAUCAUAGGCGUUUUGUAACUGGAGGUAAAGGCUCAAAACCUGUUCCAAUUUUAUUUUCAUUCCAGACGCAAAAAUACAUUAGCCUUUUACUAAAAGUCAGACAAGAAACCAAUGUUGUACCAGAAAACAAUCCAUAUCUUUUUGCAAAUCCUGAUUCCGAAGAUCGCUGGAUGUCUGGCGCAAACACAAUUAGAAAGAUAGCUAUUAAUUGUGGAGCCAAACAUCCAGAACUAUUGACAUCAACUAGAUUUAGGAAACAAAUUGCCACGACUCUGCAAUUAUUAGCCCUCGAUGAUGACGAAAUGGAACAAAUCGCCACUUUUAUGGGACAUACAAAGAAGACACAUACCGAGUUUAACAGACUACCGCAAGAUAUCUACCAGACUGCUAAAGUAGCCAAGAUUCUUUUACUUAUGGAAAAAGGCAAGGGAAAUCGGUACCGAGGAAAAAAAUUAAGUGAAAUCAAUAUAGAUGAUAACGAAUACUAUAGCUCUGAAUACGAAGGCGAUGAAGAACCGAUUAUGCAGAAGGUGCUAAAGCGGGUUACAAGGGGAAAAAACCUGAAGACGAAUUAGAUACUGGAGAUUCUGACAGAUAUGUGCAUCAGUCAACGGAACGUGAUCAACAUAAUGAAAACACAUUAUCAAGAAAUUAUUUUAAAAAGGCGACUAAGCCGUUUCACGAAUCUAACGAAGCAAAUAGUGAAGAACCACCAACAAAAAAAACUAAAGAAUCAUCCACGAAAUCCAUCCAGAGAUUCAGAGCCAAAUGGUCAGAUAAUGAAAAACAAGUUUUACUUCAGUACUUUGAAAAACAUAUUGAAACAAAAAUUACCCCUCGGAAACAUGAAUGUGACGAACUACUGAAACUACAUCCACACGUGUUCGAAAAUAAGGACUGGGUCCGAAUAAAAACAUAUGUGUAUAAUACAUUCCGUGAAAGGAAGUGAUUACUUAUUUUUAUUUUUACUGAACCACAUAGAUUAUUUUUAGUUCCAAUAAAUUACUUUUAAAUAA
rnacentral:misc_RNA from 1 species